UACGUAGGGUGCAAGCGUUGUCCGGAAUUAUUGGGCGUAAAGAGCUUGUAGGCGGUUUGUCGCGUCUGCUGUGAAAUUUCGGGGCUCAACCCCGAACUUGCAGUGGGUACGGGCAGACUAGAGUGUGGUAGGGGAGACUGGAAUUCCUGGUGUAGCGGUGAAAUGCGCAGAUAUCAGGAGGAACACCGAUGGCGAAGGCAGGUCUCUGGGCCACUACUGACGCUGAGGCGCGAAAGCGUGGGGAGCAAACGGG
rnacentral:rRNA from 1 species